GACGAACGCUGGCGGCGUGCUUAACACAUGCAAGUCGAACGGAAAGGCCCUGCUUUUGUGGGGUGCUCGAGUGGCGAACGGGUGAGUAACACGUGAGUAACCUGCCCUUGACUUUGGGAUAACUUCAGGAAACUGGGGCUAAUACCGGAUAGGAGCUCCUGCUGCAUGGUGUGGGUUGGAAAGUUUCGGCGGUUGGGGAUGGACUCGCGGCUUAUCAGCUUGUUGGUGGGGUAGUGGCUUACCAAGGCUUUGACGGGUAGCCGGCCUGAGAGGGUGACCGGCCACAUUGGGACUGAGAGACGGCCCAGACUCCUACGGGAGGCAGCAGUGGGGAAUAUUGCAGAAUGGGCGGAAGCGUGAUGCAGCAACGCCGCGUGCGGGAUGACGGCCUUCGGGUUGUAAACCGCUUUCGCCUGUGACGAAGCGUGAGUGACGGUAAUGGGUAAAGAAGCACCGGCUAACUACGUG
rnacentral:rRNA from 1 species